rnacentral:rRNA from 1 species
AACGAACGCUGGCGGCAUGCCUAACACAUGCAAGUCGAACGAGACCUUCGGGUCUAGUGGCGCACGGGUGCGUAACGCGUGGGAACCUUCCCUUAGGUUCGGAAUAACUCCCCGAAAGGGGUGCUAAUACCGGAUAAUGUCUUCGGACCAAAGAUUUAUCGCCUUUGGAUGUGCCCGCGUUGGAUUAGCUAGUUGGUAUGGUAAAAGCCUACCAAGGCGACGAUCCAUAGCUGGUCUGAGAGGAUGAUCAGCCACACUGGGACUGAGACACGGCCCAGACUCCUACGGGAGGCAGCAGUGGGGAAUAUUGGACAAUGGGCGAAAGCAUGAUCCAGCAAUGCCGCGUGAGUGAUGAAGGCCUUAGGGUUGUAAAGCUCUUUUACCCGGGAUGAUAAUGACAGUACCGGGAGAAUAAGCUCCGGCUAACUCCGUG